rnacentral:rRNA from 1 species
AUUGAACGCUGGCGGAAUGCUUUACACAUGCAAGUCGAACGGUAGAGGGGGCAACCCCUCGAGAGUGGCGAACGGGUGAGUAAUAUAUCGGAACGUGCCCAGUCGUGGGGGAUAACGUAGCGAAAGUUACGCUAAUACCGCAUACGAUCUACGGAUGAAAGCGGGGGAUCGCAAGACCUCGCGCGAUUGGAGCGGCCGAUAUCAGAUUAGGUAGUUGGUGGGGUAAAGGCUCACCAAGCCAACGAUCUGUAGCUGGUCUGAGAGGACGACCAGCCACACUGGAACUGAGACACGGUCCAGACUCCUACGGGAGGCAGCAGUGGGGAGUUUUGGACGAUGGACGCAAGUCUGAUCCAGCCAUUCCGCGUGCAGGAUGAAGGCCCUCGGGUUGUAAACUGCUUUUGUACGGAACGAAAAGGUUUCCAUUAAUACUGGGAGCUCAUGACGGUACCGUAAGAAUAAGCACCGGCUAACUACGUGCCAGCCGCCGCGGUAA